rnacentral:rRNA from 1 species
UGGGGAAUUUUGGGCAAUGGGCGAAAGCCUGACCCAGCAACGCCGCGUGAGGGAGGAAAUCCUUCGGGAUGUAAACCUCGCAAGCAAGGGAAGACAGCUAGAGAUUUAAUAAAUUUCUAGUCCGACGGUACCUUGCGUAAGCCACGGCUAACUACGUGCCAGCAGCCGCGGUAAUACGUAGGUGGCAAGCGUUGUUCGGAAUUAUUGGGCGUAAAGGGCGCGUAGGCGGUUUGUUAAGUCGGUCGUGAAAGCCCGGGGCUCAACCCCGGAGGGUCGACCGAUACUGGCAGACUAGAGUACAGAAGAGGUAGCUGGAAUUCCCGGUGUAGCGGUGAAAUGCGUAGAUAUCAAGAGGAACACCUGAGGUGAAGACGGGUUGCUGGGCUGACACUGACGCUGAGGCGCGAAAGCUAGGGUAGCAAACGGGAUUAGAUACCCUUGUAGUCCCUGAGCGGGCUGGCAAGGCGCAU